rnacentral:tRNA from 1 species
GGCCCCGUAGUUUAAUGGAUAGAAUGAAGGAUUCCGGUUCCUUUGAUAUGGGUUCGAUUCCCGUCGGGGUCAC